AAUUCAGAAUUUUAUUGAUUAGAAGAAGGGGUUUGGUUUUAGUUCUGCUUGUUGUUCGAUGUUUUAGGACGAUGGCUAUUUGAGGGGUGACUUGAUCAUUGAUAGUUGGAACGUUCGAUUAUUUCUAGCCACGGAUAUAAUAUUCAAAGUGGAAUUGGGAAAUUUUGAACUGAAAAGUUUGGACGUUGAACGCUAGGUGGUUUUCUCAACUGUGGAAUGCAUUGGGGACUGUGCUUAGAAUUCAGAUGGUGUCUUUGAAAACCUGUACUAGAGUUAAAAGUGAUUAUACAUCAUUUUGAGUAAAAAUUAUGUGUAAAGUUAUAGCAUUUGUUUAAUCAUUCUAUCAGUUUAAGCAUUAAUUGGUUUUCAUGGAGAUGGACUCAGUUUUCCUAGGACUAAACCAUCUUUUUUUUUUUUUAGGUUG
rnacentral:misc_RNA from 1 species